UCAAAAGUAAUUCGCAUUUGCUGCUAUGAGUGUACUGAGGCGAAUUAACAGUAAAACGUGGGGACGGUGUGACGUGGAAAAAAAAAUCACAUAUAAUUAAAACACGUUGUCAGAAGGCUCCAAUAUUUCCGAAUGGACAAUGGCUGCGUAGCGGGAAGUGGGGGAGAAAAUUAAAUGCAACAUGAGGAUAAAGUGGAAACCGAAUUCCUGGAUCGAUAGACGCCGGCGAUGAUGUCAGUUUCAACGCCAAAUAAGGGAAGAGAGGAACGCGGGAAACGCGACCGCCCCUCCCACCUGUAUCCUGACGUCACAGGAUGUUUGGACUGUGCAUGGAAAGAAGAAGAAGAAGAAGUGAGUGUGUCGCAGGAUUUCCCCCAUACCCUUUGAAAGUGCACGAUCUGACCCCAAACCCGCUGUGUGCUCUGUUACCCUUUAUGCAACAGUGCUGGGCUAUUGUACAGGGACUCCCUCCCAUAACACAGACACUGGGUAGUGUCACAUAAAGGCAGGAAGUUGUGGAUUGCGAAGCUCGGUGGCUGAUGAAGUCAAUCAUGCGUGCUGAGGAUUGAUUUGUUAUGUUUUCUUGUCUCCGGGAGCCGGGUGUCUUUUUUCGUCCGAUACUGACAAUAGCAGCUCGACGGCGUGAAAAUGCACCGUGUGUGUUCGGUGGAGAAAUUUUAAAAGAUUUUGUUUUCCUCGAAGUGUUCAUAUUUCUAGAAGUAAAAUUUAAAGGAAGUGCUUUGGAAAUAAUUGUUAUUACACAGCUCAGGGUGUCGCGUAGCUCGGCAUCCAUAUUUAAAGAAUAAGCGCUGUGGCAAUACGGGAAACAACAGUUUGUACGCAGCAAGGUCUCACAAACAGAAACGGUAACUACCAGAUUAUCUGCUUUAGCGUCGCCGUGGAGGGUUAAUUUUGGGCUGGUAAUCAGGUAAACUUCCCUUUCAGAACAGUCCUACAAGAACUUUUCUACCUAGCCGAGGUUAAACAGUACCCCAGUUUAACAACUCGUUUAAAAUCAUCCCCUCAGUUAUGCAUUUAAGUGUCGGUUCCCUGAGUAUCUUAGAGUAUGUCUUGAAAUCAGGAGUUUCAGGACCAACAGGGAGAGUGCUGUCAACUGACUGUGUAAAACCUGUUGAAGGAGAAACAAUUUUAUUCCAAGCCCUCAAAAAUUGUAGAAUUGUGAACGCUGCUAAUCCAUCAGGAAAACCAGCCUCCCCUCCACUAUCUAAACUUAGAUAGAAAGAAGACAAUGUAACCAAAGACCCUUAGUACCCUGGUCAUUCUCUCCUCACCCUUUCCAUAAAGCAGAAUAAUCAGCGUCAGGUUUAUUAUCACCGGCAGGUGAUGUGUAAUUUGUUAACUUAACUGCAGCAGUUCAAUGCAAUACCUAAUCUAGCAGAGAGAGAAAAAAUAAUAAACAAGUAUUGUAAAUUAAUUACAUAUAUUGAAUAAUUUUUUUAAAACGUGCAGAAACAGCAACCCUGUGUAUGGAAAAAAAAAGUGAGUUAGUGUUCAUGGAUUCAAUGUCCAUUUAGGAAACAGAUGGCAGAGGGGAAGAAGCUGUUCCUGAAUCACUGAGUGUGUGUCUUCAGGCUUCUGUACCUCCUACCUGAUGGCAACAGUGAGAAAAGGGCAUGGCCUGGAUGCUGGAGGUCCUUAAUAGUGGAUGCUGCCUUUCUGAGACACUGCUCCAUGAAGAUGUCUUGGUUACUUUACAGGCUAAUACCCAAGAUGGAACUGACUAGAUUCACAACCUUCUGCAGCUUCUUUUGGUCCUGUGCGGUAGCCCCUCCAUACCAGACGGUGAUGCAGCCUGUCAGAAAGGUCUCCACAGUACAACUAUAGAAAUUUUUGAGAGUACUUGUUGACAUGCUAAAUCUUUUCAAACUCCUAAUAAAGUAUAGCUGCUGUCUUGCCUUCUUUAUAACUACAUCAGUAUGUUGGGACCAGGUUAGAUCCUCAGAUCUUGACACCCAGGAACUUGAGGCUGCUUAAUUUGGAUUUUUUGACAUUGAUCAACAGAAAAAGACUCUUUUGUAUCAAAGUGAAAGCAGAUCUUUACAAAGUGAUCUAAAUUACAAAUAUAAAAAGCACAAAAUAAUUGAUUGCUGAAGUAUUCACCCUCCUUUAAUAUGACACACCGAACCAUCACUGGUGCAGCCAAGUGGUUUUAGAAGUCACAUAAUUAGCUAAAUAGAGAUCUGUUUUAGGAGACCUAUGUGCAGUCAAGGGGUUUCAAUUGAUUGUAGUAAAGAUACACCUGCAUCUGAAAUGUCCAAAAGCUGAUGAGUCAAUAUCCUGGCAAAAACUACACCAUGAAGACAAAAGAACACUCCAAGCAACUCCGAGAAAAGGUUAUUGAAUAGCACAAGUUAGGAGAUAGAUACAAGAAAAUUUCCAAGUGUCUGAAUAUCCCUUGGGGUAUAUUUAAGUCAAUCAUCAAGAAAUGAAAAUAAUAUGGCCCAGCUGUAAAUCUGCCUAGAGCAGGCUGUCCUCAAAAUCUGAGUGACUGUACAAGACGGAGACUAGUGACAGAGGCCACCAAGAGACCUAUGGCAACUCUAGAGGAGUUACAAGCUUCAGUGGCUGAGACUGGAGAGACUGCACAUACAACAGUUCCCUUGGUACCUCACCAGUUGCAGCUUUAUGGGAGACUGGCAAGGAGAAUGUCGCUGUUGAAAAAUAUCUCACGUGAAAUCUCGGCUAGAGUUUGUCAGAAGGCACGUGGGAGACUCUGAAGUCAACUGAAAGCAGGUUAUAUGGUCUGAUGAAUCCAAAAUUGAGCUUUUCGGCCAUCAGACUAAACGCUAUUAUUGGUGUAAGCCAAACACCGCACGUCAUCAAAAACACAACAUCCCUACUGUAAAGCGUGGUGGUGGCAGCAUCAUGCUGUGAGAUGCUUCACUACAGCAGGCCCUGGAAGGCUUGUGAAGUUAGAGGGUAAACUGAAUGCAGCAAAAUACAGGGAAAUCCUGCAGGAAAACCUGAUGCAACCUGCAAGAGAAUUGCGACUUGCGAGAAGAUUUUUUUCCAGUAAGACAAUGACCCCAAGCAUAAAGCCAAAGCUACAUAGGAAUGGCUUAAAAACAACAUAGUUAAUGUCCUGGAGUGGACAAGUCAGAGCCCAGACCUCAAUCCAGUGGAGAAUUUGUGGCUGGACUUGAAAAAGGCUGUUUUCAUACAAUCCCCAUGCAAUCUGACGGAGCUUGAGCUUUUUUGUAAAGAAGAAUGGAGAAAAAAUUGCAGUGUCCAGAUGUGCCAAGCUGAUAGAGACUGUUCCACACAGGCUCAAGGCUGCAACUGCUGCCAAAGAAUCUACUAAAUACUGACUUGAAGGUGGGCACUUAACACCUUACUGAAUUGGCCAACCUUCAUCCAAGAAGUAAUCGUUGAGUACAAAUCUUCACACAAGAAAAUGGAGCAGAACUGGGCCAGUUGGUAUAGACAGAAUCAAUGGAAAACUGCACAAAGACUGACCAACAACCAAUCUGCAAAAGAAGACAAACUGUGCCAAAAAUAAAUAAUACUGAGAACAUGAGUCUUUGAAAGUGAGUCGAUAGGUUGUGGAAUCAGUUCAGGGUUGAGGUGAGUGAACCACACUGGUUCAAGACCUUGAUGUUUGAAAAGUAAUGAUUAUUCCUGAACCUGGUGGUGUGGGACCUAAGGCUCCUGUACCUCCCGGAUGGCAGCAGCAAGAAUAGAGCAUGGCCUGGAUGCUGGGGGUUCUUGACGAUGGAUGCUGCUUUCUUGUGAAAGUGCUCCUUGUAAUGUGCUCAUUGGUGGGGUUCUUCGCCUGUGAUGGAAUGGGCAGUGUCCACCACUUCUCCGUUCAUGGGGAUUGGUGUUCCCAUACCAGGCCAUGAUGCAACCAGCCAGGAUACUCUCCAUUGUACAUCCAAAGAAGUUCGUCAAAGAUUUAGAUGACAUGCCAAAUCUGGGUAAACUUCUGAGACAGUGGAGGUAUUCUUGUGCCUUCUCGGAGACAAGCUUUCCACUUUCACCUUUCAGUAACAGUAUGGUUUUUCUUGUCCUGUCCAAUUCCAAUAUCCAAAGUGGCAGCUUAAUGAUUGCUGCUGUCAAAGGGAGUGAGGUAAAUAUUUGUUCAUACUGUACAGAUGAAUUACUAUGGUUUUGUUGGACAUGCAUUUAAGGUGAGGGUGGGGGAAGUUUAAAGGAUAUGUGUGGGGCAAGCUUUUAUUUACACAGAUGUGGGCAGGUGUCUGGAACAGGCUCCCAGGGGUGGUGGUGGACACAGAUGAUAAUGACAAUUGACAUGAAUAAGCAGGGAGUGGAAGCACAUGAACCAUAUACAGGCAGAAUAUACCAUAUACUGUGCUGUACUAACUUAUGUCCUAUCAAAUGUUAAGGAACCUGACCCUUUCUCUUGUCAAAGUUCCCCUGCUAAUUCAGAUUUGACUGUGUGUACAGCCGUGGUUUGGAUUGUUCAAGGAAAAUCAAAAAAAAUUACUAUUUUGUUUUGCAAUAGGAAAGCAAAUCUAGCUGGAGUUAUUGAAAGGUGGAACUUAGAGGGUCAGGCGCAUCUACAAAGGGAAAUGGACGGUCAAGAUUUUGGUUAGCCGCAAUACUGAACUGUCCGUUGCCCUCCAUAGACGCGGCCUGACCUGCUGAGUGCCUCCAGCACUUUGUCUGUUGCUCCUUAUUUCAGCACCUGUAGUCUCCUGUGUUUAAAAGGUGCAAUCUAAUUUGGUUUGCUCCAGCGAGGGGAGAUACUGCAGCCAAUUUGUACACAAUAACCUCCGGCAGACAGUGAGUGAUAGUGACCACAUCCAUCUGUUCUGCUAAGUGUUGGUUGAGGGGCUUCACCAAGAAAGGAGACAAAGCAGACUGUGGUAACCACAGAGGGGUCUCCCUGCCAUAUGCUGCAGAAGAAGUCACAAUUAAUGUCCUCCUGUUGGCCAAAGAUCUGCUCCUUAAAUGGCAGUAUGUUUUCCCUCCAUCUAGGGGCAUAAUAGACUUGUUCUGUACGAUGCAUCAUCUCUGAGGGCAAUAGAACAUAAAAAAGCAAGAAAUAGGAGCAGGAGAAGGCCAUCUGGCCUGUCGAGCCUGCUUCACCAUUCAAUAAGUUAAUGGCUGAUCUGGCCUUGGACUCAGCUCCACCUACCUGCCUUUUCACCAUUACUCUUAACGUCCUUAUUAUGCAAAAAAUCUAUCUGUGUCUUAAAUAUGUUUAAAAAGGUAGCCUUUGCCACUUCCCUGGGCAGAGAACUCCAUAGAUUCACCACUCUCUGUGAAAAGCAGUUUCUCCCCAUCUCUGGCCUAAAUCUAUUCCCCAAAUCUUGAGGCUAUCUCCCCUAGUUCUAGUCUCACUUAGCAGAGGAAACAACUUCCCUGCCUCUAUCUUAUCUAACCUUUUUAAAUGUUUCUAUAAGAUCCCCCCACCCCUCAUUCUUCUGAAUUCCAGUGAAUAUUGUCCAGGUGAAUCAGUCAUUUCUCAUAGGCCAACUCACUCAUCUCUGGAAUCAACCUGGUGAACCUCUUGUGCACCACCACCAAAACCAGUAAAUUCUUCCUCAAGUAAAGCGAGAUUAGAAAUGUAUGUUGUACUCCAGGUGCAGCCUCACUAGUACCCUGUACAUUUGCAGCAUAACCUCCCUGCUUUUAAAUUCAAUCCCUUCUGUAAUGAAAGCCAACAUUCCCUUUGCCUUCUUGAUAACCCGUUGCACCUGCAAACCAACCUUCUGGGAUUCAUGCACAAGCACUGCCAAAUCUCUCUGCGUAGCAGCAAUCUGCAAUCUAUUGCCAUUCAGAUAAUGAUCUGAUCUUCUAUUUUUCUUUCCAAAGCGAGUGACCUCGAAUUUACCAAUGUCCUACUCCAUCUGCCAGACCCUUGCCCAUCACUUGAUCUAUCUAUAUCUCUCUGCGGACUCUCCACAUCCUCUGCAUAAUUUAUCUUUCCAUACAAUUUAGUGUCAUCAGUAAACGUAGAUAUGCUACUCUCAGCACCUUCUUCCAAAUUGUUAACAUAUAUUGUGAACUGUUGUGGGCCCAGCACUUGCAGAAUUCUGCUCACCACUGAAUGACAACAAGAGAAACAUCCAUUUAUCCUAACUCUUUGCCUUCUAUUGGUUAACCAAUCCUUUAUCCAUGCUAAUACAUUAACUCCAACUCUAUGCAUACUUACCUUAUAGAUAAGUCUUUUAUGCAGCACCUUAUUGAAUGCCUUCUGGAAAUCCAACUAUACAACAUCCCCCUGUUCCCCUCUGUCCACUGCACUCAUGAUAUCCUCAAAGAACUCCAGUAAGGUUGUCAAACAGGAACUGCCUUCGUGAAUCCAUGCUCUGCUGCCUGAUGGAGCCACUUCUAUCCAGAUGUCUCACUAUUUCUUCCUUAAUGACAAUGCCUACCAUUUUCCCGAAAUUAAGCUAACUGAUUGAGUUAACCUGACUAUUGCCUACAUCUACUUUUAAACAGUGGUGUGACACUCAGUGUCUUACAAUCCACUGGGACUUGCCCAGAGUCCAGAGAAUUUUGGUAAAUUAUCACAAAUUCAUUUACGAUAAUUUCUGCCACUGCUUUCAUUACCAUGAGAUGCAUCACAUCAGGAGCUGGGGACAUAAACACCUUUAGGCUCACUAGUUUGCUCAUCACUAACUCUUCAGUCAUAGAAAUUGUAUCGAGGUCCAAAAAAGGCUUGACCAUUUCCACCUUCUCAUCUUCCAAUGCACCCACAUCACCCUUUUCUAGUUUAUGUAAUGAUGAAAACUUUUAUUAUCUGUCUUUAUAUUCUGUGCUAGAGGAAUCAGUCACAUCUACAGUACUUUUAAAAUAUGGGGCAAGAAAUGUCUUGCUGAUAUACCUUUCUCCCUUACAUUCUUUAAAAUUCCUUUCUAACAGGCAGCUGAAUUUCACCAUACUUUUGUCUUACAGUUCACUCCGCCACAGUGCUGCUUUGAACAUAAACACUCCAAUCUCCCCCCCUCCCAUAUCCGAAAAAGGUUCACUGGCCCAAAAUGUUCACUGGUUUCCCUUCCCACGGAUGUUCCUUCAUUUGUUGAAUUCUUCGAUCAUUUCUGUUACUGUAUCUGACAAGAAUAGUCCCUGAAAAAAAAAUGCUUCUGCGCAUCUCAGCAGGCAUCUCCCAGCGACAGCAGGUAUGAAAUUCAAGACCUCAACCACAGCGGCAGUAAAUGCUGCCCUCCUGCGUGCUUCUGAGACAUGGCCCAUCCAGAACAAGGUAGCUCACAGCACUGAAGAGAGAUACAAUUCUGCUGUCUCCACAAGUCCUUUAGUAGGAGAAGGGAACCAAUACUAGUGUCUCCUCCCAGCCAGGUCCCUCAACACUGAUACCUUAACCAUGCUUAUACUGCUUUGAGGGCGGUGGGGGUGGGGGUGCUACAGCUGAUAAUAGACUCUGAAACAGGCAUUGUAUUUUGAGCACAGUUGGAAUAAGAGAUUACUGGGUGGAAAGAGAAAAAAGUUUAAUGAGGUUCUCAAAGUCGUCUUGCCAAAGUGCAACAUCUCACCAACUCAUGGUGAAUCUGUGGGUGAUGACUUUUCAAGGACAGCAUUAAGAACCUUGUGUAAGGGGUUUCUUCUUUUAUGUUACUGCGUAUGUAAUCAAAAUGGCUUCUUUGUUAAAAGUAAAAAUGCUUCUUUGUUAUGCUAACUGGUGAGAGAGUGCUUUGUCUCUCAGCUUGUUUGGGUUAUAAUUACUGAUGAUGAGAAUUGUAUUCAUUUGUUAACCAAUUGGGAUAGAGGUUGUUCUUCCUUGUGGGUCUGUAAGCUAGUGUUGGGCGGACUUUGGGGGAGACGGCGCGAGGGGAUUAGAGGGAGAAGAAGUGAUGUUGUAAGCUGGGCGAUGGAACAGCCCCGAGCAGGGGUCCGAGGCCCAGGGUUUUCGGCACGGAGAGGAGACGAGGACAGAUUCAUGUGGAGCGUCUGGUUCACCACCGUUGUUGGUCCCAGGCGGCGGGUCGAGGAGGUCGGAGGGGAUCGAAUGGUGGCAAGAAGACUUUGUUAACUGAGCUCCAAUGGUUGUGCAUGAAGUGUUUUGGACUUUGAUAAGUUUGGCACUUGAUUUUUACUUUUCCUUUUAUAUUGUAUCUCUAUUGAGUACAUAGUUCCAAUGAGAGCUAUAAAGUGUAAUCCUUUAA